GAUGAAGAACGUAGCGAAAUGCGAUAAGUAAUGUGAAUUGCAGAAUUCAGUGAAUCAUCGAAUCUUUGAACGCACCUUGCGCCCUUUGGCCAUUCCGAAGGGCAUGCCUGUUUGAGUAUCAUGAACACCUCAACUCUUUAUGGUUUUCCAUGAUGAGCUUGGACUCUGGGGGUUUUGCUGGCUCACAGUCGGCUCCUCUAAAAUGAAUCAGCUUACCAGUGUUUGGUGGGUAUCAUGGGUGUGAUAACUAUCUACGCUUGUGGUUUUUCCACCAGGUAACCUUCAGCAGUGGAGGUUCGGUGGAGCUCAUAGAUGUCUCUCCUCAGUGAGGACAGCCCUUUGAAUGUUUGAUCUCAAAUCAGGUAGGACUACCCGCUGAACUUAAGCAUAUCAAUAAGCGGAGGA
rnacentral:misc_RNA from 1 species